GGGCCCAUAGUUCAGCCUGGAUAGAACACGCGGCUUCGGACCGCGAGACAGGGGUUCAAAUCCUCUUGGGCCCA
rnacentral:tRNA from 1 species